rnacentral:tRNA from 1 species
GAGGGUAUAGCUCAGUGGUAAAGCGCAUUCUCCACAUGCACGAGGUCCUGGGUUCAAUCCCCAGCACCUCCU